rnacentral:rRNA from 1 species
CGACUAAGCGUACAGUGUGGAUGCCCUGGCAGUCAGAGGCGAUGAAGGACGUGCUAAUCUGCGAAAAGCGUCGGUAAGGUGAUAUGAACCGUUAUAGCCGGCGAUGUCCGAAUGGGGAAACCCAGUGUGAUUCGUCACACUAUCGUUAACUGAAUACAUAGGUUAACGAGGCGAACCGGGGGAACUGAAACAUCUAAGUACCCCGAGGAAAAGAAAUCAACCGA